ACACUGGGACUGAGACACGGCCCAGACUCNUACGGGAGGCAGCAGUGGGGAAUAUUGGACAAUGGGGGCAACCCUGAUCCNNNGACNCCNNGUGUGUGAAGAAGGCCUGCGGGUUGUAAAGCANNNUUAGUGGGGAUGAAAAGCACAUUGCUAAUACCAGUGUGUCUUGACCUAACCCAAAGAAAAAGCACCGGCUANNUNNGUGCCAGCNGNNNCGGUAAUACAGAGGGUGCGAGCGUUAAUCGGAAUUACUGGGCGUAAAGCGUGCGUAGACGGUUAUUUAAGUCGGAUGNGAAAGCCCCGGGCUCAACCUGGGAAUUGCAUUCGAGACUGAAUAGCUAGGGUACGGUAGAGGGAAGUGGAAUUUCCGGUGUAGCGGUGANAUGCGUAGAUAUCGGAAGGAACAUCAGUGGCGAAAGCGACUUCCUGGACCAGUACCGACGUUCAGGCACGAAAGCGUGGGGAGCAAACAGGAUUAGAUACCCUGGUAGUCCACGCCAUAAACGAUGAGGACUAGACGUUGGAGGGUUAAGCCUUUCAGUGUCGUAGCUAACGCGCUAAGUCCUCCGCCUGGGGAGUACGGCCGCAAG
rnacentral:rRNA from 1 species